rnacentral:rRNA from 1 species
UACGUAGGGGGCUAGCGUUGUCCGGAUUUAUUGGGCGUAAAGAGCGUGUAGGCGGCCAUGUAGGUCCGGUGUGAAAACUCGAGGCUUAACCUCGAGAUGUCAUCGGAAACCAUUUGGCUAGAGUCCGGAAGAGGAGAGUGGAAUUCCUGGUGUAGCGGUGGAAUGCGCAGAUAUCAGGAAGAACACCAAUGGCGAAAGCAGCUCUCUGGGACGGUACUGACGCUGAGACGCGAAAGCGUGGGGAGCAAACAGG